AUGAUUACUUUUGGCAACACAUAUGCUAAAAUUGAAAUGAUACGGAGAAAAUUAGCAUAGCCCCUGUGGUAGGAUGACGUGCAAAUUCAUGAAGCAUUCCAUACUUAA